rnacentral:misc_RNA from 1 species
UAGGGAGACCUAAUCCAUUUGGAAGUCGAAAACAAUGAAAAUUGUCAAUAGAAACUAAAUUGGUCUAACCUAGGUCGUUCGAGAUUGGUAGACAUCUUUCAAAGUAUUAUUCGGCUUCGUUCAAAACCAUAUAUAAUAAAUGGAAAAAGACAGCACCUAAUUGUCAAAGUUAGACUGCUGGAUGAAAUUCCAGCCAGAACCUUGAAAACUGCAUAAAAGAACGAGAAAAAGCAGGCAGACACAGACAUUUAGAUGGAUGUGAAAGCAAAAGAAAUUGU